GUCAUCAGCAUCACUUCCCAGCCCCUGGGGCCCAGGAUCAUUGCACCACCCUCCUUCGAUGGCACCACCAUGAGCUUUGUGGUGGAGCACAGAUGAUGAACAGUCACCAGGAAGCAGAUGGAGACACUGCUGGAACAAGACAGAAAGAUGGACUAUUCUUUAAUAUGAAGGUUGCAUUGUAACAGCACUAAGAAUUCACCUGAAAACUUCCUCUACAUGUGUUAUUCUUAGUUUUGCUCUUAUAAACCGAGUGUGUAAGUUUCUAUAUUUUCCUGAACAACCCUGUUAAGACAGUUUGUGUUAUUUUAGUUUUACUAGGCUGAUUGAAUGGUUGCAUUUUUCCCCUAUAAAAUUACUUCUUUUUAUACUUUAAUACAGGACAUAAGCUAUCUAUUUACCUUUUCCUCCAUUUGGCUAGACAAAAAAAAAAAAAAUCCCUUACGUAUUUUCACAUUUCAAACCAUACAAGAGAAUGGUAUUUGUUCUGUUGUAAACCAAACCAGUAAAUCAAUAACUUGGAUUCCAAAUUUCCUUGUAGGUUCUUGGAAUACAUGAGGACUAGCUGGCAGAAUUGCAGCACAUGCUUGGAUUUUAAAUAUGAUGGCUCCUCACUUUGAAUCAUAUACCAGUCGUGCCUAGUCAUUCUCUUGGUUAUAAACUACACGUUCUUUUAUUGGGUUUAGCAUGAUUUCAGAUGUGAUUGUGAAAAAUAGUGGUUUUAACUUUUGUGCUUUGUUUUAAUUUUCCCAUGUACAAUGUCAUGACCCUAUAUGUUGCCUUAAAAUAGAAUGGCUUAAAAUACUGAAAGCCAUUGAUUAUAUUUAAAAUUAAGUUCUUAGUCUCAGGAAGGCAUAAAAUAUCUCUUUCUCUCUAGUAACC